rnacentral:rRNA from 1 species
GACGAACGCUGGCGGCGUGCUUAACACAUGCAAGUCGAACGGUGAAGCUCCAGCUUGCUGGAGUGGAUCAGUGGCGAACGGGUGAGUAACACGUGAGCAACCUGCCCCUGACUCUGGAAUAAGCGCUGGAAACGGCGUCUAAUACUGGAUAUGAGAAGGGUCCGCAUGGACACUUUCUGGAAAGUUUUUCGGCUGGGGAUGGGCUCGCGGCCUAUCAGCUUGUUGGUGAGGUAAUGGCUCACCAAGGCGACGACGGGUAGCCGGCCUGAGAGGGCGACCGGCCACACUGGGACUGAGACACGGCCCAGACUCCUACGGGAGGCAGCAGUGGGGAAUAUUGCACAAUGGGCGAAAGCCUGAUGCAGCGACGCCGCGUGAGGGAUGACGGCCUUCGGGUUGUAAACCUCUUUCAGCAGGGAAGAAGCGAAAGUGACGGUACCUGCAGAAGAAGCACCGGCUAACUACGUG